rnacentral:lncRNA from 1 species
GCAUAUAGCCUCACGCAUAUAAUUCCCUUUCUGACUUAAGCAUAGGAAGAGCGACGAGAACACACCGCGUUGCCUUUGUUUCAGGUACCGGAAGAUCACGUUCAUGCUCCUCAUCAGUCAUCAAACUCAGAAAAUCUGCAGGUACGAUUUUUGGCUUAUAUUUUUUAAAGUCAAUUUUAGAAGCCAAUUUCUUGUAUGAAAGGGAAAUUUCGACUUUCUUUCUAUCAGGAGCCCCUUAAUUGGUUCGCCCCGUGAUCAAGGAAGUCUCGACCCUUUCCCCAGUCUCAAACGAGCUCUCCAAAAGGUGGGAGAUUGCCCAAUAGGACUUGGGUGACAAUCGCCUCCAAUUUCAAUUAUGC